rnacentral:rRNA from 1 species
GAUGAACGCUGGCGGCGUGCCUAAUACAUGCAAGUCGAGCGAACGGACGAGAAGCUUGCUUCUCUGAUGUUAGCGGCGGACGGGUGAGUAACACGUGGAUAACCUACCUAUAAGACUGGGUUAACUUCGGGAAACCGGAGCUAAUACCGGAUAAUAUUUUGAACCGCAUGGUUCAAAAGUGAAAGACGGUCUUGCUGUCACUUAUAGAUGGAUCCGCGCUGCAUUAGCUAGUUGGUAAGGUAACGGCUUACCAAGGCAACGAUGCAUAGCCGACCUGAGAGGGUGAUCGGCCACACUGGAACUGAGCCACGGUCCAGACUCCUACGGGAGGCAGCAGUAGGGAAUCUUCCGCAAUGGGCGAAAGCCUGACGGAGCAACGCCGCGUGAGUGAUGAAGGUCUUCGGAUCGUAAAACUCUGUUAUUAGGGAAGAACAUAUGUGUAAGUAACUGUGCACAUCUUGACGGUACCUAAUCAGAAAGCCACGGCUAACUACGUG